rnacentral:rRNA from 1 species
AACGAACGCUGGCGGCAUGCCUAACACAUGCAAGUCGAACGAAGGCUUCGGCCUUAGUGGCGCACGGGUGCGUAACGCGUGGGAAUCUGCCCCUCGGUUCGGAAUAACAGUUAGAAAUGACUGCUAAUACCGGAUGAUGACUUCGGUCCAAAGAUUUAUCGCCGAGGGAUGAGCCCGCGUAGGAUUAGGUAGUUGGUGGGGUAAAGGCCUACCAAGCCGACGAUCCUUAGCUGGUCUGAGAGGAUGAUCAGCCACACUGGGACUGAGACACGGCCCAGACUCCUACGGGAGGCAGCAGUGGGGAAUAUUGGACAAUGGGCGCAAGCCUGAUCCAGCAAUGCCGCGUGAGUGAUGAAGGCCUUAGGGUUGUAAAGCUCUUUUACCCGGGAUGAUAAUGACAGUACCGGGAGAAUAAGCCCCGGCUAACCCCGUGCCAGCCGCCGCCGUAAGAC